rnacentral:rRNA from 1 species
AUUGAACGCUGGCGGCAGGCCUAACACAUGCAAGUCGAGCGGAUGAAGGGAGCUUGCUCCUGGAUUCAGCGGCGGACGGGUGAGUAAUGCCUAGGAAUCUGCCUGGUAGUGGGGGAUAACGUCCGGAAACGGGCGCUAAUACCGCAUACGUCCUGAGGGAGAACGUGGGGGAUCUUCGGACCUCACGCUAUCAGAUGAGCCUAGGUCGGAUUAGCUAGUUGGGGGGGUAAAGGCCUACCAAGGCGACGAUCCGUAACUGGUCUGGGAGGAGGAUUAGUCAAACUGGAAAUGAGACCAGGGCCCGACUCCUCAGGGAGGGAGCAGUGGGGAAUAUUGGACAAAGGGGGGAAGCCUGAUCCAACCAUACCGGGUGGGUGAAAAAGGGUUUUGGGUUUGAAAGCCAUUUUAUUUGGGAAGAAAGGGAAGAAGGUUAAAACCUGCUUUUUUGAAGGUAACCAAAAAAAAAGGAACGGCUAACUUCGUG